AGUGCUUAGUAAAUACGAUUGAGUGAAUGAAUAAAUGAUCCAUUUUCUUUCCAUUUUCAGGCCCUGCUCAGCACCUGGCAGUUUGUCUCAGCAGCCACACGGGGACAGCAUCAACUAAGAGAAAAAACAGCUUUUUUUUUUAAGAUUUGGCCGCCGGGAGGCGAGGGAUGAAAGCUGUCCAAGGUUGCGAUUCAAAAGGCCAAACCCAACAUUUCCCAAUGCAAGGCGGACAAUCCGGAUGGCCUGGGCCAAGGACCCCGGACCCUGGGAGCCAAUCAUUGAUCCAUCAUGAUUUGUGUCAGCCGAGCAGUUAUGGAGAUGGACAGCUUAUUAUCAGCUUUAAGGGAAGAAACACAAAGCAAGCAGGACUGCUAUGAAGAGAAUCGGGGAAUGUGGGGACCAAUCCCGGCAACCGAGACUAAUGAAUCUGGCCAAGCAGGCGGCGGAUGGAGGAGGCCUGACCCAGGAACACUGCUGGAAAUUAGCUUCGUCGACCCGAAGGCAGGAAGGACUGAACGUAGCCAGUAAUGAGGAAAUGUGCGAAGGAAAAAAGGCUUAAACUCAAGCUCCUUUCAAGUCGUGGUUUUACCGGAUCUCAUCAUUCAAGGCAACUAUUCUGAGCUGUGAUUCUAGGGGCUUAUGCCUUGUCAGCAAGUCUGAGUCAGCACGGGAAAGAAAAUUAGGUAAAACACCUUAAUUAUUCAGUAACUGCUGCAGCCUCUGCAAGUGAAUGGUUGUCAUUCUGCCCUUGAGGCGAGUGCUUUCUUCUCUUAAGGCCUGGACCGUCCUCCCUCCUGCAGGGUCCAGUAGCCAGUCUUGAUCUGUGUGAGGGGUUUGGGUAGCCAGCUGUGACCUUGUCGGAACAGACCCCGUCCUCCAUUUUCCUUUCAUCUCUCUUCACCAAAUGGGAAAGUAGCUCUCUAGCACUUGCAUAAAUAUAAUAGCAUUCUAUCACUCUAUUAUUAUUCUAUUCAUAUAAUAAUGUUGGUAUUUGUUAAGCGCUUACUAUAUGCAGAGCACUGUUCUAAGCGCUGGGGUAGACACAGGGGAAUCAGGUUGUCCCACAUGAGGCUCAAAGUCUUCAUCCCCGUUUUUUUACAGAUGAGGGAACUGAGGCACAGAGAAGUAAAGUGACUUGCCCACAGUCACACAGCUGACAGGUGGCAGAGCUGAGAUUCGAACCCAUGACCUCUGCCUCCCAAGCCCAGGCUCUUUCCACUGAGCCACGCUGCUUCUCUAAUAUAUUACUAUGGUAUGUAAUAUAAUAUUACUUAUUCCAUUCUAUUACUCUUUCCUCUCUACAAUAGAUUUUAAUAUCUGCCUCCUCACUCUUGUUUGCUCCUUGAAGGCAGGGAUUAUAUCCGUUUCCUGAACCACGUGGCCUAGAAGGCAGAGCGUCGGUCUGGAAGUCAGAGGACUUGGGUUCUAAUUCUGACUCUGCCACUUGCUGGCUGUGGAUGACCUUAGGCAGGUCACCUCACUUCUCUGCGCUUCAGUUUUCUCCUCAGUAAAAGUGGGGAUUCAUCCGUUCUCCAUCCUCGUUAGAUUGCGAGCCCCCAUAUAGGAUAAAGAUGUUGUUUGAUCUGCUUAUGGUGUAUCUACAACAGUGCUUGGCACACAGUAAGUACUUAACAAAUACCAUAAUUACUAAUAGUAAUCCUAUUGAAGUUUCCCAAGUGCUUAGUACGGAGUUCUGCACGUAAUAGAUACUCAUUAAAUUCUACUGUUGGAUCAAGUCAGCCGAGUCCUCGUUUCAUGCUCUGUUCAUAGCACAGCUGUCUUCCGUUCAGUGAUGGACCUGGGGUUUUUUUCCUAAUGGAAAAUCUGGGUCCCUUUGCAUUCCAUAAAGGGAUAUUUCUUUGUUUCACCGGUAUUUGUUAAGUGCUUACUAAGUGCCAGGCAAAGCACUGGGGUAAAUACUAGAUAAUCAGUUUGGACACAGUCAGCGUCCCACGUGGGACUCACGGUCUUAUUCCCCAUCUUACAGAUGAAGUAACUGAGGCACCGAGAAGUUAAGAGACUUACCCAGGCUCCCACAGCCGAAAAAUGGAGGAGCCAGAUUUGGAACCCAGGUCCCUGUGACUCCCAAUUCCAUGUUCCAUCCGCUAAGCUAAGCUACGCCGCUUCUCAUUUGGUUGCUGAUCUACCACCUGGAGGAAGAGGGAAGCCACUAUCUGCCUCCAAUAAUCUCCAAACCAAUUUGGGAGGUGAGACUCUUAACCCUUUAGCAACCACUUCUAAAAUCUGAUAAUUAAAGUACCGGACACCGUGCUAAACACUGGUGAAUAAAGAGGUUAUCAGAUUGGACCCGGUCCCUACCCCACUCAAGGUUUACAAGCUAAGAAGGGGCCUUAUCCCCAUUUUACAGGCUCAGAAGGGAUAAGUGAUUUGCCCACGGUCACCUAGCUGGGCUCUAGGCACAGCUGGGAUUAGAACCCUGGCAUCCUGACUCCCAGCUCCACUAGGCCACUGGACGGUGGUUCGGUAUUUCUUUUUCCAUUUGAUUUGAUUUUUCUGGAGGAGUUGGUUGGCUGCCGGAAAGAAGCGGUCACAACGAAAUCCUUUCCCACUUAAUCCCGGUGCUUAAAGUCUCAUUACACAAGACCAUCACAAUUCCUGGCAUGUCAGCCUUCAUUACUUAUUUAUAAGGACUGAUUUAAUGUGAUCUAAUGUGAUUUAGUGUGUCAUAGGCAAGCGACUCAGCGAGCCAAGUUGCUCUAUUGUUUUUGGACGGUGAGCACUGAAUGCAGAAGUAGGCAAGAAUGCUUAGCGUCCUUUACCCCAAGUGAAGGGAGAGUCCCAAGGAUUCUUGCCCGCUUUGUGAUCUCCCCCAGGAAAUCAAAAUGCAAGAAGAAAAAUCUGGCCCAAGAAAGAAGAAAACGGGCAAGUCCCCGCCGUUCUUGAGAAUGGAAUAAUAAUAAUAAUGUUGGUAUUUGUUAAGCGCUUACUAUGUGCAGAGCACUGUUCUAAGCGCUGGGGUAGACACAGGGGAAUCAGGUUGUCCCACGUGGGGCUCACAGUCUUAAUCCCCAUUUUACAGAUGAGGGAACUGAGGCACAGAGAAGUUAAGUGACUUGCCCACAGUCACACAGCUGACAAGUGGCAGAGCUGGGAUUCGAACUCAAUUCGAAUUGAAAUAGCCUGUGCCAGGUUUGGGCCCACGUGAAUGUGGCUGUGUGGUAACGAUUCUGAAAAUAAUUGUCGUGCACGUCAAUCUGUCCGCGGUAAGCGGAGCACUGUUCUAAAUGCUCGAGAGAGUAUAAUGUAACAGAGUCGGUAGACAUGCUUCCUGCUUACCAGAAGCAUUUCUUGGCAUUUCCAGGUGUGGAGAAUGUUCUCGAGCUUAACGACUGCUUCUCACGUAGGGUCCUGUUGGUUUUUCUCUUGUCUGGAUGUUUGGGGCUUUACAAAUCCCUUUUCUCUGGUGAGCACUGGACUAAGAGUCCGGUGAUCUGGGUUCUAAUCCCAGUUAUUUCACUGACCUAGCGUGUGACCUUGGGCAAGGCGCUCAAACACCCUGGCCCUCAGUUUCCACAUUGGCAAAAUGGGGAUAAAAUACCUGUCCUCCUCCCUCUUAGAUUGUGAGCCUGUUGGAGGACAAGGACAAGAUCGUUAUGAGUUGAACGCAGCUCUGGGCAUAUAGCAAGUGAGAAGUUGUAUGGCAUAUUGGAUGGAGCACGGGCAUGGGAGUCAGAGGUCGUGAGUUCUAAUCCCGGCUCCACCACCUGUCUGCUGGGUGACCUUCGGCAAGUCACUUAACGUCUCUCUGCCUCAGUUACUUCAGCUGUAAAAUGAGGAUUCAGACUGUUAGCCCCACUUUGGACAACCUGGUGAUCUGGUAUCUACCACAGUGCUUAGAACAGUGCUUGGCACACAGUAAGCACUUAACAAAUGCCAUAAUAAUGAUUAUUAUUCUCUGUGCCUCGGUUACGUCAUCUGUAAAAUGGGGAUUGAGACCGCGAGCCCCACUAGGGACUGUGUCCGACCCAAUUUCUAUCCACCUCAGUGCUUAGUACCGACACUGGCACAUAGUAAGCGCUUAACAAAUACCACAAUUAUUAUUGGUAUUAACGAAUAGCAGAAUUAUUGUUAUUCCUAAGGCACUUUGCAUCUGCAAGGGAUUUUUUUUUUUUUGGCAAGGACACAACCUAGUUUAACCUUGAUUUGUUUCUGAAUCUGAACUUCUUUUAAUUAGGGACACCUCUUUAUCUGAUCCUGUUAUUAGCUCAACGGAGGUUGUGGGGCAUUAAGUAUUUACUGUGUGAGUGACAUUUAUGACAAUAAAUGGAAAGACUGCUGAAGCACUCUGUUACUGAUAUCAUUUCUCCGGGGCGCGAGGGGCAGAAGAAACGUGAACCGUAAUUAAAACUGAAAUUGAGACAUGUCAAGCAGGGAGACACAUUGAAACUUGGAGGAAGGAGGGAUUUUUUUUUAUGGUAUUUGCUAAGUGCUGACUAGGUGCCAGGCACCGUUCUAAGUGCUGGGCUAAACCCAAGCUAAUCAGGUUGGACACAGAUUGACUAAUUGAUCUGUAAAAUAUCUGUUCUCUCUCCUACUUAGACUGGGAUCCCCAGGUGGGACAGGGACUGUGUCCAACCUAAUUAACCUGUAUCUACCUCAGUGCUUAGAAGAGUGUUUGACACAUAGUAAGUGCUUAACAGGCACCAUGAACAAAUAAUGAUAAAAAGUGGAUGGGGAUAUAAAGGUUGCCGAUUUGUACAUUCCAAUCGCUUAUUACAGUGCUCUGCACAUAGUAAGUGCUCAAUAAAUACUAUUGAAUGAAUGAAUAAAAUUAGCUUUUUUAAAAUUUCAUCUCAAAAUGCUGCUUUACCCU
rnacentral:lncRNA from 1 species